rnacentral:tRNA from 1 species
GCCCGGUUGGCGGAAUAGGUUCACGCGCGGCCCUCAAAAGGCCGUGCCCUUCGGGGCAUGUGGGUUCGAAUCCCACACCGGGCA